UGGAUGUGAGCACUCUUUUCUCUCCUAUUAUCUGAGUGGCUGCAGGUACUGGUGUCUGCCUCUAUGCCUCUGUGCCAGAGGGAUAAAGAGGGAAAGAAAGAGGACUAGUGCUUCAUAUCCCCCCUUUGGCCUCCCCGUCUCCCUGCUCCCUGCCACUCCAUCCUUCCUUCCUCCCUCCCGGACCACCCGUCAGCGGCUGGAUCAACCUGCCCGGACCCUCCUCCCACAACCCCUUUGACUAUCCUCACUUCACCGUCCCGUCUUCUGAACUGUGUGCAGAAUCUUGGUUUGGAAGAGCAGAAGAAAACCUUUAAAUACAAAUUUAAAAAUAAACCUCCUGUACAAAGAAACGGUGAGGUACACUGGACAGACAGAACUCUCUCAAGUCUUCUGGAAGUGUGGCAGCACGUGGUCACAUGACCUGGAAGAGAAAACCCAAGAGACUUCUGGGAUCCCUCUCUGAAUGGGCCGGUUAUCAACCUGGAAAGAAGUCUAAAGGCUGAUGAACUGAUCCGCACAGCGACACAGCUGCGCUCUCUUCCCCUCUUCGUCUGUCCAAUCUUUCCAUUUAUGUCCUGAGAUCCACAACUUUCUGCAACUCUGGUGACUGGUUGGCUGCUGUACCAUCAUUCUCGUCCUACUCCUGGGGAUUUCCUGUCACGUGACCAUAUUCCUGCUUCACCUCCACUCCUAGUAUGGAACUCAACAAAGUCCAGUCAGAGGGCGGGCUGAAUGUGACCCUGACCAUCCGGCUUCUCAUGCACGGCAAGGUAAGUUGAGCCCGC